GAUGAACGCUGGCGGCGUGCCUAAUACAUGCAAGUCGAGCGAAUGGAUUGAGAGCUUGCUCUUAUGAAGUUAGCGGCGGACGGGUGAGUAACACGUGGGUAACCUGCCCAUAAGACUGGGAUAACUCCGGGAAACCGGGGCUAAUACCGGAUAACAUUUUGAACCGCAUGGUUCGAAAUUGAAAGGCGGCUUCGGUUGUCACUUAUGGAUGGACCCGCGUCGCAUUAACUAGUUGGUGAGGUAACGGCUCACCAAGGCAACGAUGCGUAGCCGACCUGAGAGGGUGAUCGGCCACACUGGGACUGAGACACGGCCCAGAAUCCUACGGGAGGCAGCAGUAGGGAAUCUUCCGCAAUGGACGAAAGUCUGACGGAGCAACGCCGCGUGAGUGAUGAAGGCUUUCGGGUCGUAAAACUCUGUUGUUAGGGAAGAACAAGUGCUAGUUGAAUAAGCUGGCACCUUGACGGUACUUAACCAGAAAGCCACGGCUAACUACGUGCCAGCCGCCGCGGUAA
rnacentral:rRNA from 1 species